UUAACUGUCCACGCGUAUUGUACUGAAUCUUUACAGGUAAAUUAGACUUCCUACAUGGUCAUCCUUCAGGGCAGAAAGAUGACAAGAUGCUUGUCAAUCAGAGAUGUAAAGAGGAAGUCAACCAGUGAAAACAAGUUGAGGAGAAACAGGGAAUCAUUUUUGUGAGAUAAGAAGCCACACUGUCUGAAAUGCUAACAAGUUUAUAAAUACCUUUUGUGAAGAUGAAUCCAAAAGCAGAAAGGAUGAUCUCUUAUCAAUAGGAUUACAACAGAGUAAUAAGUAAUGGGACCAGUCCAUGUACGAGUUAUCGAUUGACAAGAGAGGAGGAAAAUCCCAGGAUAAUACUGACUGAAAGAACAUGGACAUGUUUCUGAUCAUAUCAAGAUUAAUAAUAAUGCAGGAAGUUCAGUAACUACAUUAGGAACCACAGUUGGACUUAUGACUGUUAGACAUAUACUUCCUAGGACUCCCUAGGAGAGUCAUUUUUACUUUCUAGAAAUCCCUAGGAGAGUCA